GACGCUGACCACUGGUAGCACUGGAAGUGGCACCCUACUGAGUUGGGCGGUCGGAUGGAACUGACAACUAAUGGGACUGGCCCUAUUAGCGCACAUCCCUACCUUUUCAAGCAACUACCCAACACUUCCGAAUAUGAUGGCCUAGCUUACCACACCCGAAGCACACAUCACUACCCGCUCUACACUCACCCUGAUGGUGCCUACCAUACUUCUGACAUAAAAUAUUAGAAUGAGCACUACUAACACUGACUUGGGACUUAGAUCCUGGUGCCCUAUCCCUAUUGUCAUUUUUGAAUUUGGGUACUGGGCACUGGCUGAAAAGGGUGCUAGGAAUGAAGACCUUUAAUGAAACUGAGGAC
rnacentral:lncRNA from 1 species